CACGGGCCGCUCUAUCGAGACGACGACGCUUCGAGAUCGGCUUGUGCA
rnacentral:precursor_RNA from 1 species